UCGUGUGUUUGUGGCUUACUCUCCAGAUGAUGAACUGUUUGGAAAGAAGUUGCCUUGUGGGAGGAGGUGUGUCACUGGGAUGGGUUUGAGGUUUCAAAAGCCCGUGCCAGGCCCAGUCUCUGUGUGUCUCUCUCUGCUGCUGCCUGCAGGUAAGGACAUCAAGCUCUCAGAUACUGCUCCAGCACUGUGCCUGCCUGCUGCCUGCCGUGUUGAUCAUGGCCUAACCCUCUAAAACGCGACAGAACGGUGACUAAGACUACAGCUACAGCUCUUCCUCCGGCGUGCGCAAGCUGCAGGGGUGCAGAGCCCCGGCGCAGCGAACCAGACUCUGGUGCUGAAACCUGUGUGCUGUUUUUACCAUACAAAGCGAGUCCUCCCAGUGUCUCAACGAAACACAAGUGUAAAUGGAGACAGAUGCAUGCUGUUCUCAUUAUGAGAGGCUCUUCUGCCUAGCAGCUUGAUUGACACUGGUACAAAUUUAAGUUUAACCCCCAGGAGUCCACAAAGAAGCUUCUAUGAGGGCAGACAGCUGUCCUUAAGGUACUGUGGGAGCCAUUUCCAACCCUGAUCCCAAGCAGCAGGAGAAGGAGUCAACAAGCAUCUUCACAGGGCACACUCUGCUGCCUGCCAGAAGAAUGUUCAGGACUUCACUCUGAAGACUGUCUUUGCCAUUGCUAGACCUCCACACUAACUCCACAUUGCUGGCACAGACUCUGGAGAAGAAUCACAGAGGGCCAGAAGGACCUCUUCCAUCACGGAAGAGCAGUUUUCCUGAUUAUUAGAAUCCUAGCCUCGAACAUGUAUUUGGACAAGAGGGAGCCUAGAAAUUCUGUCAAGUUUUCAUUUAGUCUAAGAAAACAAAAGUCAGUUGAAACAAGAAAAGACUACAGGGGCUGGGAAUAUAGCUCGGCCUGGUACCACGCUUGCCUAGCACGCACAAUCCUGCGGUUCUAUCCCCAGCAUGUGUAAAGCUAGCAUGGUGGUGCAUGUCUGUAAACCCAGGAUUACGAGUCAAAUGUCAUCCCAGAUACACAGCAAGCUCGAGGCCAGCCUGCACAAAGGAGACCCUUUCUCGAAAUAAACAAAUGAAUGAAUGAUAGACAGAGGCCGGAGAGAUGGCUCAGAGUUAAGAGCACUUGUUUAGCUAUCAUGAAGACCAGGGAUUGGAUCCAAGCAUUGGGUAAGUAUAUGACCAGGGCCAGGGAAAGACUGAAGGAUUGCGAGGGCCUACUGGCUUCCCACUUAGCUGAGAGUGGGCUUCAGAUUAAGGGACAGUGAUAGAGGACACUCAAACCCUCUUCUGGCCUCUGUGUGUGCACACCUAUAUGCAGACAUGUACCUACACCC